rnacentral:rRNA from 1 species
UACGGAGGGUGCAAGCGUUGUCCGGAAUCACUGGGCGUAAAGGGCGCGUAGGCGGCCUGGUAAGUAGGGGGUGAAAUCCUGCGGCUUAACCGCAGGGCUGCCUUCUAAACUGUCAGGCUUGAGCACGGUAGAGGCAGAUGGAAUUCCCGGUGUAGCGGUGGAAUGCGUAGAUAUCAGGAGGAACACCUGUGGCGAAAGCGGCUCACUGGACCACAACUGACGCUGAUGCACGAAAGCUAGGGGAGCAAACAGG